GUCAUUGUAAAAAAAAGUUAGUGAUUUCUGAAUGCAAAAUUAGAGGUUAGUGUUCAGGUAUCUAGGUUGAGUUAGUGGUUAGAGAAGAGUUAAUUCUGUCUAGAGUCAAGUUAGAGGUUAGAGAUGUCAUGAAGUUAAGUUAGUGAUAUCUAGAGUAGAGUUAGAGGUAGUAUUUAAGCCAUGAAAGUGAAGUUAGUGAUAUCCAGAGUAGAGUCAAAGGUCAUAGUCAAGUUAUCUUUAGUAUCAUUAAAAACAAAGGGGCAGAAGGUCAGAGGUCAUAGUUGUUAUAUUUAGUGUCAUUCAAAAACAAAGGGGCAUUAGGUCAGAGGUCAUAGUUGUUAUAUUUAGUGACAUUCAAAAACAAAGAGGCAGUAAGUCUGUAAGUCAAGUUAUUUCUAGUGUCGUUCAAAACAAAGGGUAGCAUAUCCAUUUUAACUGUUAUUUUUUAUUCUUACAAAGGCAUCAUGCAUUAGUUGUACAUAUGGACCCAAACGUGAUGUGGUUACGCUCUUAGUAAUGACUGAAAACGCCUAAAAGUCCCUAUUUCUAAAUGUAUCGGCACCCCGUGGAUUUCGCCUGUUUGCAAAGCCUUACGUAGGGCCAGUUCGACAGUCCAGCAUAGAGGUAUUCUAAGCGAACAAACCGAACUAUAUUUUCCACAAUGAUCCGUUAAUUCCUCUCCUUCGGCCACUCCUCUGAACUCUUUUUAAUGGAGUGGUGAUUAGCGGGCUGUUUUUCAUUAGUUUCCUUUUUUUUUCUUUUGCCCCCGAGCUGUUUCCUACUCAAUGCUGGAUACUAAAAAGAUUUCCUGUUUGAUUUCUUAUAAUUUCCUUCUAUUUAUAUCAAUGCCAAAGACUGCACAAGGCAUUUUCAGCUUACAAGUUUGGUGUACUGGACUGUAAAACUGCCCCUAGAUGUUGUACAGGUUUUCAUGGAUCCUUUUGCGAUCCUGGUGACAGUUAUACACAGCUUUUUAAUGGAGCGGUGAUUAGCGGGCUGUUUUUCAUUACUGUUUCCGUUUUAUUUUGUUUUUUUGUUUUUUGCCCGAGCUGUUUCCUUUGAUGUAAAAAAUAAAAAAAUAAAAA